rnacentral:rRNA from 1 species
CAGCAGCCACGGUAAUACGAAGGGUGCAAGCGUUACUCGGAAUUACUGGGCGUAAAGCGUGCGUAGGUGGUGGUUUAAGUCCGUUGUGAAAGCCCUGGGCUCAACCUGGGAAUUGCAGUGGAUACUGGGUCACUAGAGUGUGGUAGAGGAUAGUGGAAUUUUCGGUGUAGCAGUGAAAUGCGUAGAGAUCGGAAGGAACAUCUGUGGCGAAGGCGACUAUCUGGGCCAACACUGACACUGAGGCACGAAAGCGUGGGGAGCAAACAGGAUUAGAUACCCCGGUAGUCCCUGUCUCUUAUAC